AUGGCAUUUUAUGUGAAACCUCUGCUGUGUAGAGGUAGUUGCAGUGGUAUGCCUUCCCGUCAACGAGAGAGCAAAAUAACCUGUGUUUGGCCCUGGAAAAGGAGUUGCAAGAACUCUGAAAAAGUUCCCAUAGCAACAGCUGAGAGGACGACUAUCUUUCUUCCAGCCGUGGAUGCACAGCAACCACACGCAACGGGGGCAAAUCGGCCCUUCCCGAGCGGGUCCACAUGGCUCCACAGUUACACACAGAAGGGCAGUAUUUUCCCUGCCUCCCAGAAAGAGAUGACUGCCUUUUCUGUUAAAAUUAUUAUAUUCUUUUUGCUCUGAGUAGGACAAAACCUCUUUUCAACCUCAGGAUUGAGAACAAUGAAGGAACAGCCCGCACGCACUGGCAUCUGGGUCUGUAAAUAGGGCCAGCAAUGAGGCUUGCUGAUGGAGGUACUCGUUUGGGAUUUGACCACCUCCUGAUGGAAAUACCCCCAUAUCAGCACAGGGUCCACACGUCCCAGAGCCACAGCUCUGCUCCCAACCCUUGGACUGCUCUCCAGGGCCUUGGUGUCUCAAGCUACCCUGGGGGUCCCUACAGCUCUGCUGCUGCUGCCAGCAGCAUGUGGCUUCCCCAGCAGGUCCCCAGCAAGCAGGCUUUCUGCUUCAUACAGAAACAGGCACCUGGGGGCCGCAGGUAGGCCUGCUCUGACCUUCCCUGCUCAGGAUGAACCUACCUGCCCUUUUGUAGUUGCCCUCAGAAACAUAAUUGGUAGCGGGAACAUUUUAUCUGUUUUAUGCACAAAUGUAUCAGUACUUUCUAAUGGGCUGUUACAACAAAAACUAGAAAAAACAAUUCACAUAUCCGUACUUUGAAAAACUCAUUCGGGAUAUCUGCGUUCUGAAAUUCCAGGAUCUCCCAGUACUGAUAAACAAACUAUGCCAUUUCUUUUUAAGAACAAGUUUUACAAAAAAAAAACAAAACAAAAUAAACAAAAAAAAAAACACCCA
rnacentral:lncRNA from 1 species